UCCGUGUCAAGGCUUGGCCGUGGCCAUGACAGCUGGGCCCGACUCGACAGAGCGUGGAGGCUUAGCAAAGCCAGGGCAGGGAGGCUGAUUCCUUUCUUCUCAGGAACUCAGAGACGGAAUCCAGGGAUUACGGCGACUUUUGCUCCAGCUACGUGGGGUUCUUGAGAGAUGGAUGUCGGAGAUGGUGGCAGUUUAUGCUCAGAUUUUGCCCUCAGAGUCUGCUUCUGAGGAAGCCCAAACUAGGUCACAACGGAAAGGAGGGAUCUGAGGAAGCGAGAGUCUGGAAGACACCGCAGGACGAGCAAAAACAAACCUAGUGGUUGCUGCUUAGGACAGAGAAAGGUGUUAUGUCCACACUCAUCAAAGUCUUCUU